UGUUUUAGCAUGUGAGAAAUGACAUUUCAAGACCGACUUUGAAUAAUUCAGUAGUAGAAUACAAGAAAUAACUUCCUCAUUUUUCAAUACUUCUAAGCAUUAUAAAAAGUUUUUUUUAGGAGUUUGCCUUGAACUCUUUUUACUUAAAAUGUGAAAUAUUUCAGGAUGAAGAUGGGUUUCAAGAACUAAAUGAGAAUGGAAAUGCUAAGGAUGAGAAUAUUCAACAAAAGCUAUCUUCUAAAGUAUUGGAUGAUUUACCUGAAAACUCACCAAUCAAUAUAGUUCAGACUCCAAUUCCCAUUACCACCU
rnacentral:sRNA from 1 species